ACACCGGCAGCUCGAGUGGUAGCUGUUUUUAUUGGGCCUAAAGCGUUCGUAGCCGGUUUGAUUAGUCUUUGGUGAAAGCUUGUAGCUUAACUAUAAGAAUUGCUGGAGAUACUAUCAGACUUGAAGUCGGGAGAGGUUAGAGGUACUACCGGGGUAGGGGUGAAAUCCUAUAAUCCUGGGAGGACCACCUGUGGCGAAAGCGUCUAACUAGAACGAUCUUGACGGUGAGUAACGAAAGCCAGGGGCGCGAACCGGAUUAGAUACCCGGGUAGUCCUGGCCGUAAACGAUGUGGACUUGGUGUUGGAAUGGCUUCGAGUUGUUCCAGUGCCGAAGGGAAGCUGUUAAGUCCACCGCCUGGGAAGUACGGUCGCAAGACUGAA
rnacentral:rRNA from 1 species